UGUUAAGAAUUUCAUCCAUUUAUACUGUUAAAAACUAGUGUGGCUAACGGAAUAACCAGAUAAUGACAGGUGGUGUUCCAUGGGUACCUCAUGUUGACAUAUUGAUAAAUUUUUAAGAGUAGAAAUGGAUAAAAAUUUUAACA
rfam:Gossypium raimondii Chr02_contig_1383, whole genome shotgun sequence.